GCCUAACACAUGCAAGUCGAACGCGAAAGGUCUUCGGACUGAUUGAGUGGCGCACGGGUGAGUAACACGUAGGUAAUCUACCCUUUGGCGGGGGAUAACGUUCCGAAAGGGACGCUAAUACCGCAUAAGACCACGCGGUCUCCGGACUGUGUGGGAAAAGGUGGCCUCUUCUUGAAAGCUACCACCGGAGGAUGAGCCUGCGUCCCAUCAGCUAGUUGGUAAGGUAAUGGCUUACCAAGGCGAAGACGGNGUAGCUGGUUUGAGAGAAUGAUCAGCCACACCGGCACUGGAACACGGGCCAGACUCCUACGGGAGGCAGCAGUGAGGAAUAUUGGGCAAUGGGCGAAACGCUGACCCAGCCACGCCGCGUGAGUGAUGAAGGCCUUCGGGUCGUAAAGCUCUGUGGAGAGGGACGAAAACCCUGGUUUCAAAUAGGCUCCAGGCUUGACGGUACCUCUUUAGCAAGCACCGGCUAACUCUGUGCCAGCAGCCGCGGUAAUACAGAGGGUGCAAACGUUGCUCGGAUUUACUGGGCGUAAAGCGCGUGUAGGCGGGUUCGCAAGUCGGACGUGAAAUCCCUGGGCUCAACCCAGGAACUGCGUUCGAAACUGCGAAUCUAGAGUAGUGGAGAGGAAAGUAGAAUUCCCGGUGUAGAGGUGAAAUUCGUAGAUAUCGGGAGGAAUACCAGUGGCGAAGGCGGCUUUCUGGACACUUACUGACGCUGAGACGCGAAACGUGAGGGAGCAAACAGGAUUAGAUACCCUGGUAGUCCACGCUGUAAACGAUGUGUGCUAGGUGUCGCGGGAUUUGACUUCUGCGGUGCCGUAGUAACGCGUUAAGCACACCGCCUGGGGAGUACGGCCGCAAGGCUAAAACUCAAAGGAAUUGACGGGGGCCCGCACAAGCGGUGGAGCAUGUGGUUUAAUUCGACGCAACGCGCAGAACCUUACCCAGGCUAGAAAAGUAGAGAAGUCUGUAGAAAUACGGAUAUGCCUUUCGGGGAGCUCUAAUCCAGGUGCUGCAUGGCUGUCGUCAGCUCGUGUCGUGAGAUGUUGGGUUAAGUCCCGCAACGAGCGCAACCCUUGUCAUUAGUUGCUAACGGUUCGGCCGAGCACUCUAAUGAGACUGCCGGGGUUAACCCGGAGGAAGGUGGGGAUGACGUCAAGUCCUCAUGGCCCUUAUGUCUGGGGCUACACACGUGCUACAAUGGUCGGUACAAAGCGCAGCGAGCCCGCGAGGGGGAGCGAAUCGCAAAAAGCCGGCCUCAGUACGGAUUGCAGUCUGCAACUCGACUGCAUGAAGGCGGAAUCGCUAGUAAUCGUUGAUCAGCAGGCAACGGUGAAUACGUUCCCGGGCCAUUGUACACACCGCCCGUC
rnacentral:rRNA from 1 species